GCACUCUCACAUCUAACCUUUGGGUUAUGAUAUGGAAUUGGGAUGCGCCGAUUUUUACUAGUCGGCACUCCUAAAAUGUAGCUCUUGGCUGUUUCCUACUACAGCAGUUUGGCCUAAUAGUUUUGACUUUUGUCAAAUCUUUGGCUACAUUUGCUUCUGGAAAUCAGUCUUGAUAAUACAGAAAACUCAUUCAAA
rnacentral:misc_RNA from 1 species